rnacentral:rRNA from 1 species
UACGUAGGGCGCAAGCGUUGUCCGGAAUUAUUGGGCGUAAAGAGCUCGUAGGCGGCCAGUUGCGUCCGCUGUGAAAUCCCGGGGCUUAACCCCGGGCGUGCAGUGGAUACGGGCUGGCUAGAGGCAGGCAGGGGAGAACGGAAUUUCCGGUGGAGCGGUGAAAUGCAUAGAUAUCGGGAAGAACACCAACGGCGAAAGCACUCCGCUGGGCUGAUACUGACACUGACAGACGAAAGCUAGGGUAGCGAAAGGG